AUUCUAAACUGAUACUUAUCUGUGUGUAAAGAAAGGAUUACUGAUUCCCAAAGAAUAUAUCUUCAGCAAUUCUAAAUUUGGACAAAGUGGGGGAAGUGCUUCCUUUCACAGAGAUAGCUUUAAGUGAAAGCACUUGUGAAAGGGCGGGGCCUGUUGAAAGAAUUCAGUUGAGGGUGAAUUUACAGAGUUUCAGCUGGUUGGGAAGACUGGAAGACCACCUGGGCUGUCACUGAGCUCUGGUGCCAGGAGGAAUGGACAAGAUCUUAGGAGCAUCAUUUUUAAUUCUGUGGCUUCAACUAUGCUGGGUGAGUGGCCAACAGAAGGAGGAAAGUGACCGGCAGCAGGUGAAACAAAGUCCUCAAUCUUUGAUAGUCCAGAAAGGAGGGAUUUCAAUUAUAAACUGUGCUUAUGAGAACAGUGCAUUUGACUACUUUCCAUGGUACCGACAAUUCCCUGGGAAAGGCCCUGCAUUAUUGAUAGCCAUACGUUCAGCUGCGAGCGAAAAAGAAGAAGGAAGAUUCAAAAUCUUCUUCAAUAAAAAUGCCAAGAACUUCUCAUUGCAUAUCAUGGAUUCCCAGCCUGGAGACUCAGCCACCUACUUCUGUGCAGCAAGCACACAGUCCUCCCCAGGCACCUGAAGUCUGUACCCAAACCUGCAGUUGAGGCUCCAGCCAACCCCU